AUGGGGCUGUGUCCUAUGGGGCUGUGUGCUAUAGGGCUGUGCUGUACUCUAUGGGGCUGUGCCCUAUGGGGCCGUGCCAUAUCCUAUGGGGCCGUGCCCUAUGGGGCCAUGCCGUGCCAUGCUCUAUGGGGCCGUGCCAUACGCUGUGGGGCUGUGCCAUAUCCUAUGGGGCCAUGCCCUAUGGGGCCGUGUGCUAUAGGGCCGUGCUGUACUCUAUGGGGCUGUAAGUUAUGGGGCUGUGCCAUACCCUAUGGGGCCAUGCCCUAUGGGGCCGUGUGCUAUAGGGCCGUGCUGUACUCUAUGGGACUGUGUGCUGGGCUAUAUCCUAUGGGGCCGUGCGCUAUAGGGCCGUGCUGUACUCUAUGGGGCUGUAAGUUAUGGGGCUGUGCCAUACCCUAUGGGGCCAUGCCCUAUGGGGCCGUGCCAUGCUCUAUGGGGCUGUGUCAUAUUCUAUGGGGCUGUGCCCUAUGGGGCCAUGCUCUAUGGGGCCGUGCUGUACUCUAUGGGGCUCUGUGCUGUGCCGUAUCCUAUGGGGCCGUGCCCUAUGGGGCCGUGUGCUAUAGGGCCGUGCUGUACUUUAUGGGGCUGUGUGCUGUGCCGUAUCCUAUAGGACUGUGCCAUAUCCUAUGGGGCCGUGCUCUAUGGGGUUGUCCCCUAUGGGGCCGUACCCUACCCUACGGGGCCGUGCCAUAUUCUAUGGGGCUGUGCCGUAUGGGGCCAUGCCAUACUCUAUGGGGCUGUGCCCUAUGGGGCUGUGCCCUAUCCUACAGGGCCAUGCCCUAUGGGGCUGUGAGUUAUGGGGCUGUGCCGUGCCCUAUGGGGCCGUGCCCUAUGGGGCCGUAUUAUACUUUAUGGGGCAGUGUGCUAUGGGGCUGUGCAAACCCUAUAGGGUGGUGCCGCACCCUAUGGGGCAGUGCUGUCGUUAUGGGGCAACAUCACACCCUAUGGGGCCGUGCCAUCUCUAUAGGGCUGUGCUGUCCCUAUGGGGCCGUGCUGUCGCUAUGGGGCAGUGCUGUUCCUAUAGGGCCGUGCUGUCGCUAUGGGGCAGUGCUGUUCCUAUAG
rnacentral:lncRNA from 1 species